AGGUCCUCCAGGCCGCCAGGGGGAGCCGGGCCUCCAGGCCGGUCGGUUGAGCGGUUUGGAAAAAACCCGUUCAAGCGGUGAGGAGAAUCCGCCCCUUGUUCAGUGAAAGUCCUUCCCGGCCAUGGCGACUCAUGUCAGCGAGCUGGAGGUCGCCAAAAAGACCUUGACGGAGGCGUUGGGGGAGAAUGUGAAGCAAUAUUGGGCAAACUUGAAGCUUUGGUUCAAGCAAAAGAUAAGCAAAGAGGAGUUCGAUGUGGAAGCGAGGAGGCUCCUUACUCAUGAUAAUGUGCAUUCCCAUAAUGACUUCUUGCUCGCCAUCCUCACCAGAUGUCAGAUCAUGGUUACUGCUCCAGAAAGUGGUACUUCGCUACUUUGGACCAGUCCAUCUGCUGCUAAAUCUGGUAAACCUAAAAGCAAAAAAAAGUUUCCAUCUCUACGAGCAAAAUUUGAACAUCGAUUUCAAGCACAGAAUCCUUUAUCGGGAGCACAACACUUUGUGGCAAAGGAUCCCCAAGAAGAGGAUGAUGUGAAAUUUUGCACUCAUACAAUGGUGCUUCCCACGAGAGGCCAGCUAGAAGGUCGGAUGAUAGUAACGGCUUAUGAAUGUGGACUGGACAAUGUAUCUGAAGAUGCAGUGACAGCAGUGGUGCAUGCAGUGGAGAAUCAUCUAAAGGACAUUCUGACAGCUGUGAUAUCCAGGAGGAGAUCAUACCGUUUACGUGAUGGCCAUUUUAAGUAUGCUUUUGGGAGUAGCAUUAACCCCCAGCCAUAUUUAAAAAACAGCAUUAUUGCCUACAACAACAUUAUUGACUGUCCUCCUACAGGGAUGCCAUUAACUGUUGGACCGAAUCCAGGUUCCCACCUCUCACCAGAUGAUGUAGAGCAACAGGCAGCUCUUCUCCUAGCCUGUUCUGGUGAAGAUAUGUUAGCUUCCUUACCACCUGUCAACAUGUAUGAUCUUCUUGGAGCCCUCCAGAUGAAGAAGAACUAAAGAUGGACCCGUCAAACAUACGAGAUGGGAACUUAUCGGUUUAACAACUGGGUCUGAAGGCACGCCAUAAAACUGUGUUUUGUUUAACUCUAUCAAAGGCAUGGAAGGAAUCAAAGUCAGAGAAAUUAAGCAGUGAAUUUAAACAGUAGGUACACAGGGAAGUGAUACCAGCCCACACAGUCUACGCCUUGAAUAUAGAAAGGAUAUUGGCUAGACUCUGGCAUCCUAGCCAUGAGGAGUUGGAGCAGGAUAAGAUCCACCGUCAGAGGCUGGCAGUCAAGGAGGGACUUGUUUGUUGACUGACUUUAGACCAAUUGUUAGAGUUCAGAGCAUGCUUUGGCUCCACUCCAUGUGAAUUCAAUGAUCACUGCAUUAAACCAGACACCAUCUCAACCUCAUUCUCAGUCUGUCAUCACUGGGUAGAGUUUGUUAUAGUGAUGAGCAUCAUUGGCAGUAUGUCAUGUCAGGUGUAAAUUGAAACAAUGGAAAUUAGAAUUUAACUUCAGCCUGACAAUUUGGAUAAAAUAUUCCUCAUGAAUCUCUUAAUGAGCAAGAUACAAACCUAUUUCUAAGAUGUCUACAUUGAAGUUACCUAGUGUGAUAUUCAUGUACAAACAUCCUGAAGUUCUACUAUUGCAACAUAUCUAAAAUAAACUGGUUAAUUCCUCUGAAUUUCAGAGAAAACAGGUUGAGCAAGGGUUUGCACUGAGUAUCCCACAGCAUAACUUAAAGGCCUGAUGGUUUGUCUAUUUUGUUUAAUACAUAUCUACUGAUGAGGCAAAUGAUAAACUAUGCUGGUUCAUUUCAGAUCCCUCUUUGCUUAAUAAACAUUUUAACUGAAUAUAGAUAUCUUUAUCAAUGUGCAAAAUGUUUAAAGGUUCAAGAUUAACAAUGCAAUGUAAUAGCACCAUGAAAUAAUUUUAUUUUUGUACAGUAAGAAAUUGUAACAAUUGAUCAAGUAGAAUGUAGGUGUCUUUUUUGUAUACACAAGUACUUUUUUUCAUUUUUUGUGUAUUUAUUUUAUUUUGUAGUUUACAUGCAAAACAGCAGUAUUGAUUUAUUAAAAUGUAAAUGUACAAAAAA